CCGUAACUGGUCUGAGAGNAUGAUCAGUCACACUGGAACUGAGACACGGUCCAGACUCCUACUGGAGGCAGCAGUGGGAAUAUUGGACAAUGGGCGAAAGCCUGAUCCAGCCAUGCCGCGUGUGUGAAGAAGGUCUUCGGAUUGUAAAGCACUUUAAGUUGGGAGGAAGGGCAGUUACCUAAUACGUAAUUGUUUUGACGUUACCGACAGAAUAAGCACCGGCUAACUCUGUGCCAGCAGCCGCGGUAAUACAGAGGGUGCAAGCGUUAAUCGGAAUUACUGGGCGUAAAGCGCGCGUAGGUGGUUUGUUAAGUUGAAUGUGAAAUCCCCGGGCUCAACCUGGGAACUGCAUCCAAAACUGGCAAGCUAGAGUAUGGUAGAGGGUGGUGGAAUUUCCUGUGUAGCGGUGAAAUGCGUAGAUAUAGGAAGGAACACCAGUGGCGAAGGCGACCACCUGGACUGA
rnacentral:rRNA from 1 species